AUUGAACGCUGGCGGCAGGCCUAACACAUGCAAGUCGGGCGGAGCGGCGGACGGGUGAGUAAUGCCUAAGAAUCUGCCUGGUCGUAGGGGAUAAAGUCAGGAAACGGGCGCUAAUACCGCAUCCUAUCAGAUGAGCCUAGGUCGGAUUGGCUAGUUGGUGGGGUAAAGGCCUACCAAGGCGACGAUCCGUAACUGGUCUGAGAGGAUGAGCAGUCACACUGGAACGGAGACACGGUCCAGACUCCUACGGGAGGCAGCAGUGGGGAAUAUUGGACAAUGGGCGAAAGCCGGAUCCAGCCAUGCCGCGUGUGUGAAGAAGGUCUUCGGAUUGUAAAGCACUUUAAGUUGGGAGGCGUUACCAACAGAAUAAGCACCGGCUAACUUCGUGCCAGCAGCCGCGGUAAUUC
rnacentral:rRNA from 1 species